CAGGACGAACGCUGGCGGCGUGCCUAACACAUGCAAGUCAACGGGGAUUUGUUUCGGCAGAAUCCUAGUGGCGAACGGGUGAGUAACGCGUAGGCAACCUGCCCUCCGGCCGGGGGACAACACUCCGAAAGGGGUGCUAAUACCGGAUACGAAGUCUGUGCCGCAUGGUACGGAUUUGAAAGAUGGCCUCUAUUUAUAAGCUAUCGCCGGGGGAUGGGCCUGCGUCCGAUUAGCUGGUUGGUGGGGUAACGGCCUACCAAGGCGACGAUCGGUAGCCGGUCUGAGAGGAUGAACGGCCACAUUGGGACUGAGACACGGCCCAGACUCCUACGGGAGGCAGCAGUGGGGAAUCUUCCGCAAUGGGCGCAAGCCUGACGGAGCAACGCCGCCGUGAGUGAGGAAGUUCUUCGGAACGUAAAGCUCUGUUGUUCCUGACGAACCUCCCCUUUAUCAACAACGGAGGGGACUGACGGUAGGGAACGAGGAAGCCACGGCUAACUACGUGCCAGCAGCCGC
rnacentral:rRNA from 1 species